rnacentral:ncRNA from 1 species
UAAAAGUUUUAUUCUUGCUUAAAUAUUUAUUUUAGGAUUGUAUCACAUAUAAUAUUUUAUUAAUUAUUACUUUUGUAGUGAUAAAUAUUAUUAAUUAAUGAAAGUUAGAAAUAGCAAUUUCUAUUUUCCCGGUUAAAAUCGUGCCAGCCACCGCGGUUAUACGUGAGGUAUUAAUAAAUAUUAUUGGUUUUAGUAGUUAAAUUUAUGAUUCCUUUAAAAUUGAAAUUUUUAGGUGAAAUUUUAAUUUUAUUAUAAAAGGUUUAUUUUGAAGCUAUGAAAUUUAAAUUAAAAACGAGGAUUAGAUACCCUUUUAUUUUAAAUGUUAAUAUUAACCUGGGUAGUAUUAGUUAAGUUCUUGAAACCCAAAGAAUUUGGCGGUAUUUUAUUCUUUUUAGAGGAACCUGUCCUGUAAUUGAUAAUCCACGAUGAAUAAUUACUUACUUUUGUGUUCAGUUUGUAUACCUCCGUCAUCAGAUUAUCUUUUUAGAGAUAAUAUUCUUUAUAUAUAAAAUAUAGUAUGUCAGGUCAAGGUGCAAUUUAUGGGUAAGUAGAGAUGGGUUACAAUAAGAUUACUUAAACGGAUUAUUAUUUUUAUAAAUAAUAUGAAGGAGGAUUUAAAAGUAAAAUUAUUUUCUUAUUAAUUUGAUUUUAGCUCUAAAAUAUGCACACAUCGCCCGUCACUCUUAUUUUAAAAUAAGAUAAGUCGUAACAUAGUAGAGGUACCGGAAGGUGUUUCUAGUAAGUAU